GGAAGAGACCCUCUGGAGUUGCUGCUGUGUGUCUGGGGCUGCUGUGUGUUCUCCUACUGGCUGGGAUCAUAGGCCUGUCUGUCUACUAUGGAGUCAUUGGUCAUCACAACUUAACAGAGAGAAACCAGCUACUGGUCAGUUACAGCAAUCUGACUAAAGAGAGAGACCAGCUACGGACCAGUUAUAACAACCUGACUAAAGAGCGAGACCAGCUACAGACUGAGAGAGAUUUUCUUAGCGGGAGGUUUUCCAAUUGCAAACAAACCUGUUCUGAAGGCUGGCAGAAGUUUCAAUCCAGUUGGUACUUCCUGUCUACUGAGACUAAAACCUGGGAGGAGAGCAGAGAGGACUGUCUGAAGAGAGGAGCAGACCUGGUGAUCAUAAACAGUGAUAAGGAACA